CCUACGGGAGGCAGCAGUAGGGAAUCUUCCACAAUGGACGAAAGUCUGAUGGAGCAACGCCGCGUGAGUGAAGAAGGCUUUCGGGUCGUAAAACUCUGUUGUUGGAGAAGAAUGGUCGGCAGAGUAACUGUUGCCGGCGUGACGGUAUCCAACCAGAAAGCCACGGCAGCUCGUGCCAGCAGCCGCGGUAAU
rnacentral:rRNA from 1 species